UACGUAGGGGGCAAGCGUUGUCCGGAAUCAUUGGGCGUAAAGGGCGCGUAGGCGGCUUUGCAAGUGACGGGUGAAAUCCCUCGGCUUAACCGAGGAACUGCCUGUCAGACUGCAUGGCUCGAGACCAGGAGAGGUGAGUGGAAUUCCCAGUGUAGCGGUGAAAUGCGUAGAUAUUGGGAGGAACACCAGUGGCGAAGGCGGCUCACUGGACUGGUACUGACGCUGAUGCGCGAAAGCGUGGGGAGCAAACAGG
rnacentral:rRNA from 1 species